AUUGAACGCUGGCGGCAGGCCUAACACAUGCAAGUCGAGCGAGCGGCGGACGGGUGAGUAAUGUCUGGGAAACUGCCUGAUGGAGGGGGAUAACUACUGGAAACGGUAGCUAAUACCGCAUACCAUCAGAUGUGCCCAGAUGGGAUUAGCUAGUAGGUGGGGUAACGGCUCACCUAGGCGACGAUCCCUAGCUGGUCUGAGCGGAUGACCAGCAAGACUGCAACUGAGAAGCGGUCCCAAGUCGUACGGUCGGCGGCAGUGAGGAAGAUGGCACAGUGGGCGCAAGCCAGAUGCAGCCAUGCCGCGUGUGUGAGGAGGGCCUUCGGGUUUUAAAACACUUUCGGCGGUGAGGCGUUGCCCGCAGAAGAAGCACCGGCUAACUCCGUGCCAGCAGCCGCGGUAAUAC
rnacentral:rRNA from 1 species